CUGAGGCCGGUGGGCGGCGCGGGCUGGAGCCGCCCCGCGCGCGUCCUGCUCCAGCUGCGCCGCCGCCGGGCCGGGGCAGCCCGCCGAGUGGCUGUGCGCGCCCAGCCCAGAGGAGCGCAGAGUUUGGAAAGUCGUCUGGAAGCUUCAGCGGAGGGAAGGGGGUGGGAAGAGUGGGGGUGCAAGACAGAAAAACCCGCCUCUCGUGAGUUAAGCGAGGAAGCGGGGGAAAAGCUCCGAGUUCCGCUUCCUGAACGGCGGGUGGGUAACGAAGGCUGGCGCGGGCAGGACCAGAGGGACCCGCGCUCUGGGACCGCGGCGGGAUCGGCGCGGCCGGCGAUGGCCAGUGAGCGGACCCGCAGGUUCACCCGGAGCCUGCUGAGACCGGGGCAGGCGGCCGAGCUCCGGCACAGCGCCGCGUCCGCCGCCGCGGUGGCCGUCAGCAGCCGACAGCAGCAGCGGGUGA
rnacentral:lncRNA from 1 species